rnacentral:tRNA from 1 species
GCCGAAGUGGCGAAAUGGCAGACGCGACGGUCUCAAAAACCGUUGUCCUGAAAGGGACGUGCCGGUUCGAAUCCGGCCUUCGGCACCA